GGGUUAGUGGUCUAGUGGUAUGAUUCUCGCUUCGGGUGCGAGAGGUCCGGGGUUCGAUUCCCCGGUAACCCC
rfam:Trichuris trichiura, WGS project CBXK01000000 data, contig: TTRE_1525